ensembl:lncRNA
CAAAGUUUGAGGACGUAUCUUCCCUAAAGACUUACUUUUUUUUUAACCUCUGGAGAAAAUUGCUUUGAAGAACUCUUCGAUAUAGAAUAAAACUAGAAUCUUUGGACAGCAUGCACCACAGCAGGCUGGAGAGAGUGAACAGCCAGCCAGAGUCUUUCCCAGCAUCAGGUUCUUUUCCAAUGAGUCGACUGUUUGCUGUUCCCAUCAGCUGUCCUUAUAAAAAGGGGAAACCUGGACAUAGACCCAUAUGGAAAGCACCAUGUGAAGAUGAAGGCAAAGACCGGGUGACUCAUCAAGAAGACAAGGGAUGCCAAGGAUGGCUAGCAAACCACUGGACACCAGGGGAGAGGCCUGGGACAGUCUCCCUGCCAACCCUCAGAAGGGAACAACCACAGCUAACACCACUGACACCUUGAUCUUGGACUUCUAGCUUCCCGAACUUGGAGAGAAUAAAUUCCUAUUGUUUGAGUCACAGGAUUUGUUAGAGCAGCUCUGGGAAGCUAAUAGACCCAUAGAGAUCAUUCAGUCGCAGCCCUGCCUGGUACUUCAGUGGUUACUGCUAAACAUCACACAUCAUAGUGAGCCUGCAAUAACACUGGAGAAGCGCUGUCAUGCUAAAGGAGACAUAAAAUCACUGGGUGGAUAGUGCUGCCACCAACAUGAAAAUGUAAUCAUCCACACGCUCUGUGCUGCCUUUGAAGGCAGUAUGGGUGCUAGUGUCUCAGACGUUCCUUCAGGAAAUUGGCCAUUAUUAGUCACCACGAUGUUUCACCAUCUCAUCUUUCUGACUGAGUGGCUAAAAACAGCCAUCAGAGCGUUGAGUGCAUGGAAUCUACAUGCUUCCUCCAUGCUGUAAUCACACACACACACACUGAAUUAGCAGAGGAAGGCAUUUUCAGGAGGAGCAUUUUAAAGUAGAAGGCUUAAGAAGAAUUCUGCUUUCCCCAUGAAUGCCAAGGUAUUGAUUACAACAGAGAGCUGAACACAUCACAGAGGGAUAAUUUAC